UACGAAGGGGGCUAGCGUUGCUCGGAAUCACUGGGCGUAAAGCGCACGUAGGCGGCUUGUUAAGUCAGGGGUGAAAUCCUGGAGCUCAACUCCAGAACUGCCUUUGAUACUGGCGAGCUUGAGUCCGGGAGAGGUGAGUGGAACUGCGAGUGUAGAGGUGAAAUUCGUAGAUAUUCGGAAGAACACCAGUGGCGAAGGCGGCUCACUGGCCCGGUACUGACGCUGAGGUGCGAAAGCGUGGGGAGCAAACAGG
rnacentral:rRNA from 1 species